rnacentral:hammerhead_ribozyme from 1 species
AUUCAACUGACGAGUCCUAAAUAGGACGAAAAGCGCGUCCUAGAU